AUCGUCAACAUCACUUCAGACGGAGCAAGGAAGCCUUUCCCAGGGUUAGCGGUGUAUUGUGGAACAAAAUAUUUUGUUCACUGCUUAUCUGGAGCUUUGAGGUCGGAACUAGCAUCGUUGGGGGUGAAAGUGACCGAUGUUCAACCGGGAGAUGUCAGCUCAGAAUUGCACAACCAUGUCUCUGAUCCAGAGGCAGAAUUGCAGUUUGAUUGGAGUACCAAAGUGCCGAUACUGAA